AUGAGGUUUACCUUGUCAAGGAGACCUGCAAGCACAGAGGAAAGAGCUUCCUGAUUGUUGUUGAGUCUCUCAAUAGACUCCAACAAAUCAGCAGAAGCAAAAGGACCCGUAGGAGGCAUGGUAACAAUGAUGAAAGCACCAAAUUUGGUAAGAAAUCUCUUCCCCACCAAGGAACCCUAGCAGAGCUACUCUAGAACAG
rnacentral:lncRNA from 1 species